rnacentral:rRNA from 1 species
UGCGUAGGCGGUUUGAUAAGUCAGUUGUGAAAUUCCCCGGCUUAACCGGCGGGACUGCGAUUGAUACUGUCAAACUUGAAUCAGGUUGAGGUAGGCGGAAUGUGGCAUGUAGCGGUGAAAUGCAUAGAUAUGCCAUAGAACACCGAUUGCGAAGGCAGCUUGCUGGACCUUGAUUGACGCUGAGGCACGAAAGCGUGGGGAGCGAACAGGAUUAGAUACCCUGGUAGUC